rnacentral:lncRNA from 1 species
GCAGCAAGAAGGGCAUGGAGUCUCUUUGGUCACUGGGGCUUUCAGAGGGAAAUGACAGCACAGUUUGGAGAACUGAAAGCAAAGUCGCAGAGCCUCAGAAGAAAAUAACACUGUCCCCGCAAGUAAGAAGAAGGGGCAAGAAAGACAAAAAGUAGCAUCCAGAAACACCUAUCCUCAGUCAGCAGCUCCC